UGGCAUUGUAAGAUUUCUCCUACUACCUGACCCAUAUACCUUAUCUGCAACAUGGAAAAACAUAGUCUAUUUGGCUGACACAGGACAGACAUGAGAACUUAAAAGGCCUCAGGAAACCUUCUUUUACAUUGUGAACAUUACCUGCUAUCUGAUCUGCCUUUAAAUGAGCUUUCAUUUGUUCCAGAGGGACCAGCACAGGAUCUUCUUGAUUUUGUUAGCCAACAAUUGUAAAGUAUUAUUAAAGUAAUUAUUAUUUUUUAAAUUUAAUUGUUUAUCAACAGUACCCAGAAGACCACAUAAACUACCUUCUGCAAUUCAAUGUAAUCAGAUACAAGGAAAUAUCUCUUGAAGACAUGAUAAAACAAUAUUUUAGUACUAGAAUUGCUCUUAUGUUUAUUUCUGUAUUAUAAUGACAGACAAAAAUGGGUUUUGAGCAAAAUUGUAAUAAAACAGCAUCCAAAAUAAA